GAAUUGUAUGGAAUAGAGAAUGAGCGUGCUCUACGACGAAGCCGUUCUCCACGAAGUCGACUCAUUUUGAAAAAACCCGUUGAACGCGUUAGAUGUUGUUGCGUUGUCGCUGCGCUGAAACGAAACGAAGAAAAGAAAAAAGAAACGAAACGCGCGUAAGGGCCUAAAAGGAUAUUUGUGCAAAAUUGUUAUUAUUAAACAAAUGCAAAAUACACAUGCACAUGUGCUAUUUAAACAAAACCUAAAGCUGUUGAAUUGUCAUCGUCGUGGUCAUCGUUGGUUCGUUUGUACGCGCGUGUAAAUGUUUGUGCUUUUUGUUUCUUUGAUGCGCUGGAGAUAAUAAAACAAAAAACGAAUUGUUGCGAGUGUAAAUUAUUAAAAAAAAAGUGUUUGAUGCCGUAUUAAAUGUUGAAAUGGUUUUAUCCAACUGAAUGUGAAAAUACGGCAACAAGAAAUAGUAGUCGCUUGAAAAAGAGUAAUAAGAAGUAAAUGAAUUGCCCUGAAAGUGUUUGAAAAGAAAAUCCCUUACAAAAUUAUUUUGUUGUUGUGAAAUUAACAUAUACCUAAACCCCAAAAAAAAACAAAAGUGUGAAGUUAAAUCUUAACUCCCAAAAAAACGUGUUAAAAUACCUUCAGUGGGAUCACCACCACCACCACCACACCACUCCCAUCCUCUUAAGAAUAUUACACAAAAGCUUUUAACAACAAAAUAAAAACCUCCAACAACAACAAGUGAAAUUAAACGAAACAAAAAACAUGUUUGCUGAAGGCAUAUUUCCCAUAGGCGAUGGCCUUUUGGACAUUGAUGAGGAGCGUCUUAAAGGUUUGCUGGUUCCCGAAGAUAUCAACGAAAUCUAUGAGGUGGAACAAACUCCAUUUGCCAGGUAAACCAUUUCUAUGCCAAUAGCUUUUAUUAAUGAUGCAAGGUAAUUAUUUAUUAUGAAAACUUGGAGAUAUUAACAAAUAUCCAAAUUAAUCAUGCGACUUCUUACUUCAUAUUGAAAUUGUUUAUUUUCGAGCGAUGAAUCACUAACAUGAAAUCGAAAUUUUUAUUUUGCAAAAUGAAUUAAUCAUAUCAAUUUUAUUUGCCUUUAAUCAUCUUCGAAAAUGUCAAGAGAUUACAUUGGCAUAAUGUGAGACUCAAAUUAGUAUGAAAGAAUUGAAGAAAAAGAGAAAUAAAAGUCAAAAAAACUUGGCAUUGGCAUAAUUCCAUAUUAAA
rnacentral:sRNA from 1 species